rnacentral:rRNA from 1 species
UCUAAGGGCGGUGAAGUCAGACCGGAAGGACUGGUGGAGCGCUUAGAAGUGAGAAUGCCGGUAUGAGUAGCGAAAGAAGGGUGAGAAUCCCUUCCACCGAAUAUCUAAGGUUUCCUGAGGAAGGCUCGUCCGCUCAGGGUUAGUCGGGACCUAAGCCGAGGCCGAUAGGCGUAGGCGAUGGACAACAGGUAGAGAUUCCUGUACCAGUGCUAAUUGUUUAACCGAUGGGGUGACACAGAAGGAUAGGGAAUCGCACGAAUGGAAAUGUGCGUCCAAGCAGUGAGUGUGAGAAGUAGGCAAAUCCGCUUCUCGCGAAGCAUGAGCUGUGAUGGGGAAGGAAAUUAAGUACGGAAGUUCCUGAUUUCACGCUGUCAAGAAAAGCCUCUAGGAAGAGUAGUACUGCCCGUACCGCAAACCGACACAGGUAGAUGAGGAGAGAAUCCUAAGGUGAGCGAGAGAACUCUCGUUAAGGAACUCGGCAAAAUGACCCCGUAACUUCGGGAGAAGGGGUGCUCUAUUAGGGUGCAAGCCCGAGAGAGCCGCAGUGAAUAGGCCCAGGCGACUGUUUAGCAAAAACACAGGUCUCUGCAAAACCGUAAGGUGACGUAUAGGGGCUGACGCCUGCCCGGUGCUGGAAGGUUAAGAGGAGUGCUUAGCUUCGGCGAAGGUACGAAUUGAAGCCCCAGUAAACGGCGGCCGUAACUAUAACGGUCCUAAGGUAGCGAAAUUCCUUGUCGGGUAAGUUCCGACCCGCACGAAAGGCGCAACGAUCUGGGCACUGUCUCAACGAGAGACUCGGUGAAAUUAUAGUACCUGUGAAGAUGCAGGUUACCCGCGACAGGACGGAAAGACCCCGUGGAGCUUUACUGCAACCUGAUAUGGAAUGUUUGUACCGCUUGUACAGGAUAGGUAGGAGCCGAAGAGACGUGUGCGCUAGCAUACGAG